rnacentral:rRNA from 1 species
UGGGGAAUAUUGCACAAUGGAGGGAACUCUGAUGCAGCGACGCCGCGUGAACGAAGAAGGCUUUCGAGUCGUAAAGUUCUUUUAUAUGGGAAGAUAAUGACGGUACCAUAAGAAAAAGCCCCGGCUAACUACGUGCCAGCAGCCGCGGUAAUACGUAGGGGGCUAGCUUUGUCCGGAAUCACUGGGCGUAAAGGGUUCGCAGGCGGAAAUGCAAGUCAGGUGUAAAAGGCAGUAGCUUAACUACUGUAAGCAUUUGAAACUGCAUAUCUUGAGAAGAGUAGAGGUAAGUGGAAUUUUUAGUGUGGCGGUGAAAUGCGUAGAUAUUAAAAAGAAUACCGGUGGCGAAGGCGACUUACUGGGCUCAUUCUGACGCUGAGGAACGAAAGCGUGGGUAGCAAACAGG